rnacentral:rRNA from 1 species
UACGUAGGGGGCAAGCGUUGUCCGGAUUUAUUGGGCGUAAAGAGCGUGUAGGCGGUUUGGUAGGUCCGUUGUGAAAACUCGAGGCUCAACCUCGAGACGCCGAUGGAAACCAUCAGACUAGAGUCCGGAAGAGGAGAGUGGAAUUCCCGGUGUAGCGGUGAAAUGCGCAGAUAUCAGGAAGAACACCGGUGGCGAAGGCGGUUCUCUGGGCCUUACCUGACGCUGAGGAGCGAAAGCGUGGGGAGCGAACAGG